CCUACGGGAGGCAGCAGUGAGGAAUAUUGGUCAAUGGGCGCGAGCCUGAACCAGCCAAGUCGCGUGAAGGAUGACUGCCCUACGGGUUGUAAACUUCUUUUAUAAAGGAAUAAAGUGAGGCACGUGUGCCUUUUUGUAUGUACUGUAUGAAUAAGGAUCGGCUAACUCCGUGCCAGCAGCCGCGGUAAUACGGAGGAUCCGAGCGUUAUCCGGAUUUAUUGGGUUUAAAGGGAGCGUAGGUGGGUUGUUAAGUUAGUUGUGAAAUGUUGCGGCUCAACCGUAAAAUUGCAAGUGAUACUGGCAGACUAGAGAACAGUUGAGGUAGGCGGAAUGCGUGGUGUAGCGGUGAAAUGCUUAGAGAGCACAAAGAACACCGAUUGCGAAGGCAGCUUACUAAACUGCAACUGACAUUGAUGCUCGAAAGUGUGGGUAUCAAACAGGAUUAGAUACCCGAGUAGUC
rnacentral:rRNA from 1 species